GACGAACCGUGCGAACGUUGUUCGGAAUCACUGGGCUUAAAGGGCGCGUAGGCGGGCUUUUAAGCCAGACGUGAAAUCCCCGGGCUUAACCUGGGAAUGGCGUUUGGGACUGGGAGUCUGGAGUGCGGCAGAGGAGACUGGAAUUCCUGGUGUAGCAGUGAAAUGCGUAGAUAUCAGGAGGAACACCGAUGGCGAAGGCGACUACCUGGCCUGUUUCUUGACGCUGAGGCGCGAAAGCUAGGGGAGCAAACGGG
rnacentral:rRNA from 1 species